CUCUGUGCAGAUAGUCUCUGUGCACUGGGAUGGAGGGAUGAAGCAGAGCAGCCCGUGAUUGCUCCAGCUGAGCAAUGCAGGCUCAGAACACCUUGUUCAAGUGGCACUCAGGUUCAGUUCUACAGAAUCACUAUAAACACAGAAUCAUUGUGUGAACACUUCAUCCAGCAUAGUGGAGCUUCCAUUGCAUGGACAGAUGCUGUUUGAAGGAACACUGAGAUUCUGGAGUGAAAGCUGCUAUAUGACUUCAAAACAUGGUUGAACAAGAAGUGGAGCAGCCUAAUGAAGCGUGGAUCCAGCUACUGGAGACUUUAAAAAUGUAAAGAAUUUUUUCUCUGGUAUUCAAAAUCUAGGUGACCUGUCAGGCCCUUGUAGAUCGCUUCUGAACUGACAAUACUCCAGUGCCUCCUCCAGGUGGAUGCCCAACAAGCAGGAUGGAGGUACAAGCAGGGGAACCUGAGCUGUUCAUCUGCAGCACAGUGUUUAUGAAGAAUACUGAUUUAUUUCU